UUAUUCACAGGAGAACGAAAAAUUCAAAUUUUAGGCCUCGUUAGUUUUGAUUGUACUUUCAUUAAAAAUUCAUUUGUUGCAUAGACAUUUGGACCGAUUUCUACCAAGAAAAAGGAAAAUGUUUCUAUCGAGAGUGGCGUAAACAACACCCCUGCAAGGGCGUAAAUUUCAAGAGGAUGCAAAAACUAUGUACCAAACAUUUAUUUAGGUAACCUAUACAGUCCAUUUGAAUAAAUCAAUUGGUGCUCCCGCACCUUUCUGUCUAAAAACACUUUCAAUUCUUGUAUAUUACACUCGAUGGUGGGGCCUUGGAAGGCAAACAUCUUCAACAUCUGGUGGAUCCUCUCCAAUGGAAGCGUGUCCAAGUUCAUCAGCAUGCCCAAGAUAUAUGACCAGAAGGUCUGUAAAAAAAUAAUCAACUCCAGUAACAAAAAAAUAUUUCUGUUUGGUACCUGGAGCUCUUCUUCUCGUUGGUCUUGCGCACUGGCCAUAGCAGACUCUGACUCAUAAUCCUCCACCACUAUAUCAUCUUGUAAAUUAUUUUCUUUAUUUUCUUGUUCUUCUUGCAAGUGAAACACAUCCGGUUCUCGCUCAGUUAUGACUCCGUGUGACUGCCAGAAGCUCAACUUCCGUCUUAAGAUGGUUGAUGGCACAUGCAUUACUUUACUUAAAGCAUCCAAAGACCACGACUCUAAAUCGAACAAUUUAAAUAAUUAUUUUUCGAUUUCCGUCGUCAAUUGACUUACUGUGGUCUUGAAAAUGCAUCAAAAUCGUCGCAUGCACCGGCGACACCGACAAACUCAAACUCCUAUCCGCCAACUCGAUCUCCAGGUCGACGAUCCCCAAAUGCGUCUUCCAGCACAGCGUCCGACUCCCUUUCAGAGUCUCAAACGCGCUCGUGUACUUCUCCAUCUGUUUCGCUAGCCUCUUGUGCAACUCCAGCUUCUCGUCCUUGAACGGGGGCCAAAACUGGGCUGACACGAUCAUCGCCGACAUCGGAAUGUCGUCCUCUGAGUAGUUCAAGUCUUGCUUGAUGUGCUGGUUGAUCCGUUUGGAGUCCGCGAUGUCCUUCAACAUCACCUCGCAGUAGUGCAACUGAGAGUCGCCGAACCUCAGCUUCAAUAGCUCCAGGUAGCGGAUCUCCUUCUCGGUGUCGCAGGAGUACUGCGAGAGGAGCCGGUCGGCCAGGAGCGUGCGAUACUCGUUGACGAAGAGCUCCUUGCUCCCGUAGACGUUGACAAGCAUGGAGAUGAUGUCAGAGGUGCGAGGGAGACCUGAAGUUUUGCCUGGAACGACGAGAGUGAGAGGGGGAUUGUGGAAGGUAGGGUGAGUUACUUGUGACGCCGUCCACGGGGUCCGGGGUCCAGGUCUCCCAGUCCUCGACGCCGUCGUCCACUGGGGUGUUCUCGUCGACUUGGACGGCUUCGCCACGGACGAGCUCCUCGGCGAGGUCGUUGGGGCCCUCCUCCGUCAAGCUACUCACGACGCACCUAUUCAACAAUACAAUAAUUAUAAACUAAUUAAUUAAUUACGAUUAGUGACCUGAUGGUGUCUUCCCGACUUCUCAAGUACCGAUGAAUGGGUUGCGUGAUGGUUUCUAAAAGCAAACCACAGGGGUCUAGGAUCCGUAAGGACCGGAUUGUGGCAACAUAAGCUGUUAAAACGUCUGAAGUACUGACACCUGGAUGUAACAAUCUCGUCUCCAUCGCCUUCUGCAACGUCUUAGUCAAAUGUGGC